rnacentral:rRNA from 1 species
CCCGGGUCUUGUACACACCGCCCGUCACACCAUGGAGCGGGUUUCACCAGAAGUAGCUAGCCUAACCGCAAGGGGGCGGUUACCACGGUGAGAUUCGUGACUGGGGUG